CCUACGGGUGGCAGCAGUGGGGAAUAUUGCACAAUGGGGGAAACCCUGAUGCAGCGACGCCGCGUGAGUGAAGAAGUAUUUCGGUAUGUAAAGCUCUAUCAGCAGGGAAGAAAAUGACGGUACGUGAUUAAGAAGCCCCGGAUAACUACGUGCCAGCACCCGCGGUAAUACGGAGGGGGCAAGCGUAAUACGGAUUUACUGGGUGUAAUGGGAGCGUAGACGGGAGCACAAGUCUGGAGUGAAAUGCCGGGGCUUAACCCCGGACCUGCUUUGGAAACUGUGGAGCUAGAGUGCAGGAGAGGUAAGUGGAAUUCCUGGUGUAGCGGUGAAAUGCGUAGAUAUUAGGAGGAACACCAGUGGCGAAGGCGGCUUACUGGCCUGUAACUGACGUUGAGGCUCGAAAGCGUGGGGAGCGAACAGGAUUAGAUACCCCUGUAGUC
rnacentral:rRNA from 1 species